GACGAACGCUGGCGGCAGGCCUAAUACAUGCAAGUCGAACGAUCCUUCGGGAUAGUGGCGCACGGGUGAGUAACACGUGGGAACAUACCCUUGGGUGCGGAACAACGUCGGGAAACUGACGCUAAUACCGCAUAAUGACUCCGGUCCAAAGAUUUAUCGCCCAAGGAUUGGCCCGCGCUAGAUUAGGUUGUUGGUGAGGUAACGGCUCACCAAGCCUACGAUCUAUAGCUGGUCUGAGAGGAUGAUCAGCCACACUGGGACUGAGACACGGCCCAGACUCCUACGGGAGGCAGCAGUAAGGAAUAUUGGACAAUGGGGGCAACCCUGAUCCAGCCAUGCCGCGUGAGUGAAGAAGGCCUUCGGUUGUAAGCGACUUUAAGACGAGGAGGAAGGUCGUUU
rnacentral:rRNA from 1 species